rnacentral:rRNA from 1 species
AUACGUAGGGUGCAAGCGUUAAUCGGAAUCACUGGGCGUAAAGCGUGCGUAGACGGUUAUUUAAGUCAGGUGUGAAAGCCCAGGGCUCAACCUUGGAAUUGCAUUUGAGACUGAAUAGCUAGGGUGCGGAAGAGGGAAGCGGAAUUUCCGGUGUAGCGGUGAAAUGCGUAGAUAUCGGAAGGAACACCAGUGGCGAAAGCGGCUUCCUGGUCCAGCACCGACGUUCAGGCACGAAAGCGUGGGGAGCAAACAGGAUUAGAUACCCUGGUAGUCCACGUCAUAAACGAUGAGAACUAGACGUUGAGAGGGUAAGCCUCCCAGUGUCGCAGCUAACGCGAUAAGUUCUCCGCCUGGGGAGUACGGCCGCAAGGUUGAAACUUAAAUGAAUUGGCGGGG